GACGAACGCUGGCGGCGUGCCUAAUACAUGCAAGUAGAACGCUGAAGGAGGAGCUUGCUUCUCUGGAUGAGUUGCGAACGGGUGAGUAACGCGUAGGUAACCUGCCUGGUAGCGGGGGAUAACUAUUGGAAACGAUAGCUAAUACCGCAUAAGAGUAGAUGUUGCAUGACAUUUGCUUAAAAGGUGCAAUUGCAUCACUACCAGAUGGACCUGCGUUGUAUUAGCUAGUUGGUGGGGUCACGGCUCACCAAGGCGACGAUACAUAGCCGACCUGAGAGGGUGAUCGGCCCCACUGGGACUGAGACACGGCCCAGACUCCUACGGGAGGCAGCAGUAGGGAAUCUUCGGCAAUGGACGGAAGUCUGACCGAGCAACGCCGCGGGAGUGAAGAAGGUUGUCGGAUCGUAAAGCUCUGUUGUAAGAGAAGAACGAGUGUGAGAGUGGAAAGUUCACACUGUGACGGUAUCUUACCAGAAAGGGACGGCUAACUACGUG
rnacentral:rRNA from 1 species